GACCAGCACGCUCCACCCACCGCCCAAGCCACGCCCCCAAAGAGCCCGACUGGAACGGCCUCCCGGGACCCGCCUCCUUAGCAACCGAGAGACUCUUUCACCUUAGCAACGAGCGAAGCUCCCACCAUGGCUGAAGACGAAUUUGCUGCCCCUCCGGAGAAAGUUAUCCGGGUCCAGAGGGUGUUUAUAAACCUGCUGGACACCUACAGCAGCAGGAACAUCGGGAAGUACCUGUCUAACUGCGUCGUUGGAGCAUCCCUGGAAGAAAUUACAGAGGAAGAAGAAGAGGAAGAUGAAAAGCCAGCUGCCCGGGAAGCCUCAUCUUUCAGGCUGAAGGAGGGCACGUUCCAGAUCGUGGGCACGCUCUCCCAGCCCGAGAGCCCGGGGCCCAACUUUGCGGUGGAGACGUACUCGGUGAGUCGGGGGCUUUCUCCGUUUCUCAGGGAAGGUCCCCUCCCAGU
rnacentral:lncRNA from 1 species